GUGGGGAAUAUUGGACAAUGGGGGGAACCCUGAUCCAGCCAUGCCGCGUGUGUGAAGAAGGCCUUUUGGUUGUAAAGCACUUUAAGUUGGGAGGAAGGGCAGUAAGUUAAUACCUUGCUGUUUUGACGUUACCGACAGAAUAAGCACCGGCUAACUUCGUGCCAGCAGCCGCGGUAAUACGAAGGGUGCAAGCGUUAAUCGGAAUUACUGGGCGUAAAGCGCGCGUAGGUGGUUUUGUAAGUUGGAGGUGAAAUCCCCGGGCUCAACCUGGGAACUGCCUCCAAAACUGCAUGACUAGAGUACGGUAGAGGGUAGUGGAAUUUCCUGUGUAGCGGUGAAAUGCGUAGAUAUAGGAAGGAACACCAGUGGCGAAGGCGACUACCUGGACUGAUACUGACACUGAGGUGCGAAAGCGUGGGGAGCAAACAGGAUUAGAAACCCUGGUAGUCC
rnacentral:rRNA from 1 species